rnacentral:rRNA from 1 species
GAUGAACGCUGGCGGCGUGCCUAAUACAUGCAAGUCGAGCGAACAGACGAGGAGCUUGCUCCUCUGACGUUAGCGGCGGACGGGUGAGUAACACGUGGAUAACCUACCUAUAAGACUGGGAUAACUUCGGGAAACCGGAGCUAAUACCGGAUAAUAUAUUGAACCGCAUGGUUCAAUAGUGAAAGACGGUUUUGCUGUCACUUAUAGAUGGAUCCGCGCCGCAUUAGCUAGUUGGUAAGGUAACGGCUUACCAAGGCAACGAUGCGUAGCCGACCUGAGAGGGUGAUCGGCCACAUUGGAACUGAGCCACGGUCCAGACUCCUACGGGAGGCAGCAGUAGGGUAUCUUCCGCAAUGGGGGAAAGCCUGACGGAGCAACGCCGCGUGAGUGAUGAAGGUCUUCGGAUCGUAAAACUCUGUUAUUAGGGAAGAACAAAUGUGUAAGUAACUAUGCACGUCUUGACGGUACCUAAUCAGAAAGCCACGGCUAACUACGUG